GUGCAGCAGCUUCCUCUGGCCAGCAUGGUGUCCACAGCCCAGAACCUGGCACUAGGAGAUUCCUGGAGAAAAUGGGUACCAAGUCCACAGGAAGAAGUAAGUUCUUGGAUAGAUCCAGUGCAAGGUCAGUUUGCCUUAGCAGAGCACCAGAGUUCAGCAAAAGAAUGAACAUGUUCUAAUGUCAAGAUCACUCACUUUGGGAGAAGCCAACCACCAUGCCAGUAGAUACUCGAGAUGCCCAACAAAAGUGACCACAUGGUGAGAAACUAAGGCCCCUUACCCAUAACCAGCACUAAUUCGCCAUGUAAGUCACCUUGGAAUUGGAUCCUCCAGCCUUGGUCUAGUCCUCAGAUGACUGCAACCACACACAGCUACCACGUUGACUGCAAUCUCAAAAAAAGACCCUGAGCCAGAAUCACCAUCUAAGCCCCUCCCAUAUUCCAGCCCCACAGAGUUAUGUGAGAUAAUAAAUGUUUAUUAUUUUGAA